GACAGAGGUGCCAAGCGUUAGGCGGAAUCACUGGGCUUAAAGCGUGUGUAGGCGGAUCGUUAAGUACCUUGUGAAAUCCCACGGCUCAACCGUGGAACUGCUGGGUAUACUGGCGAUCUUGAGCCACCUAGGGGCGAGCGGAACAAGCGGUGGAGCGGUGAAAUGCGUAGAGAUGUGGAGGAACACCGAUGGCGAAGGCAGCCUUCUGGGCCAAUACUGACGCUCAUGCACGAAAGCGUGGGGAGCAAACAGG
rnacentral:rRNA from 1 species